CAAGUAAAUCGGACAGUCGCGUGCGCAGUUUGAAAAGACGCGUAUGAGGAAAGUCCGGGCUCCGCAGGGCAAGAAUAACGGCUAACGGCCGCCGAAGGCGACUUCAGGAAAAGUGCAACAGAGAUAUACCGCCGCGUUUCGCGGUAAGGGUGGAAAGGCGAGGUAAGAGCUCACCCGCCGGCGUGUGAAAGCGUCCGGCGCUGUAAACUCUAUUCGGAGCAACACCGUGGAAAGGGCUGUGUGAAAAACAAAGGGGCUGCCCGUCCCGCCCUUAGGAGGUGGCUUGAGCCUGCCGGCGACGGCAGGUCGAGAUAGAUGACUGUCUUUUAACAGAACCCGGCUUACACGUUUGCUUGCAGA
rnacentral:RNase_P_RNA from 1 species